rnacentral:rRNA from 1 species
CAGUAGCCGCGGUAAUACGUAGGGUGCGAGCGUUAAUCGGAAUUACUGGGCGUAAAGCGUGCGCAGGCGGUUUGUUAAGACAGAUGUGAAAUCCCCGGGCUCAACCUGGGAAUGGCAGUGGAUACUGGCUCGCUAGAGUGUGUCAGAGGAUGGUGGAAUUCCCGGUGUAGCGGUGAAAUGCAUAGAGAUCGGGAGGAACAUCAGUGGCGAAGGCGGCCAUCUGGGACAACACUGACGCUGAGGCACGAAAGCGUGGGGAGCAAACAGGAUUAGAUACCCCCGUAGUCCCUGUCUCUUAUAC